rnacentral:lncRNA from 1 species
UUCAGUUUUAGUGUCCAGGGAUUUCUCUGGAUAGAGAUUUUAAUGAAUUCUGGUUUCCAAAAAAAAAGAAAAAGAAAAAAAGAUGAGUACUAUUCCUUGGUUACUAGUCCAUAUCCAUUGGUUGAUUUUUUUUGUGGUUGUUUCUAAUUCUAGUAUAUUUUUCAAUUGCUUUUUUCUUUGUCGUUUUAUAUACACCCAAAGUGGAUGAUAAUUGUAUCAACCUGUAUUCCUGUUUUCGUGAUAAAACUUUUGUAUUCUUUAUGUACAGAAUAUGUUUUCCUCUACUCCAUUGUUGGAUCGCGCUCCUUCUCAUCUUCGGCAACCCCAAGUCCACCUCCGCCCCCUACAUCAGUAACUCCAAGAGUAAGUUUUACUUGUUUGUAUGAUAUCCUGCAUUAGACCUUAUGUAACUACAUGACAAUUUUAUUUCAGAUCUUUGUCAUAAAAUAAUUUGCCUUGCUGCUUUGAAUGUCUUCAAUUUAAUAGCAUAGUGUAUAGCUAUUGGCUACUUUUGCCUCCCACAGUUGAAUUAAUUUGCGUUGUUACUUUGUAAAAUGCUCUUUUUCUUAUUGAUCUUCUGGAUGGAUUGGUGCUAAGUACUGAUGAAGAACUGAUGUUCAGAAAAGCUUUUAAUGCAAAAUUCAAUCAUUUCAAGGUUUUAUUCUGAACUCCUAUUUUUUGGUAGUAUUUCAAACUUCUAUUCAAGUGUUUAAUCAAAAUUAUGAAUAUUUUGUCCUUCUAUAAUUUUAGGUAGCUGAUAUCUUGAACCACCUCAAGGGUGAAGAAUUUACUUUUGAAGAGUGCUGCUUUAUCCUUAAUGCGACGGCGACCCCGACGCCACCUCCACCCUCUGAUUCAUUAACCCAAGAGUAAGUUUUGCAUGCUUCAAUAUUGCUUUGCAUGUCUAUGUGAUAAUUCUGCAUUACACCUUAUGUGUGUGACAAACUGUGUAAUUAGUUUUUUUUUGUUUUCAUCUAUAUUUAAUUUUCAAUGCAUGUGCCGCAAGAUUCGAUGUGACAGAGAAUUUUGAAAAGUUUUUGGUUUUUAGGGUGAACUAAGGCCUUGUUUAGUUUCCAAAAUUUUUUGGUUUGGGGGCACUGUAGCACUUUCAUUUGUUUGUGGCAAAUAUUGUCCAAUUAUGAACUAACUAGGCUCAAAAGAUUCAUCUCGCGUUUUACAGGAAAACUGUGUAAUUAAUUUUUGUUUUUAACUAUAUUUAAUGUUUCAUGCAUGUGUCACAAGAUUUGAUGUGAUGAGAAAUCUUAAAUGGUUUUUGGUUUUUAGAGUGAACUAAACAAGACCUAACUCACACUAGUCCUCAACAAUAGCAAAAGGUUUUUCCACGGUUCUU